GACAGGAGCGCACGGUGCGGCUUGGAACAUAAAGCGGGGGCUAGGGUAAUUAGGCUGGAAAGAGCAACUGUUUUAAAAAAGAAAGAAAAGGAAAGAAAAAAGGCUUCUUCUCUUCGGGUAUCGGGUGGAAAGGGCACAGGACGCCCGCCUGGAGAAAAUGACCUUCCUUUCCCGGUAAAUGACCUGCCUUCCCAAUUAGGGAGCAUUCACCGAAAGGACGGGUUAAAGAGGAAACGACCCUUCUCCCCGCUUUAUUUUUUAACUAGCAGCACUCCGAGGACUGCAAAGAGCUGCAGCCCAACCCUCCGCCUGGGAUCACGCCGUGGGGUUCGGCCCGGCCCGGCUCGCGAGCCCAGGCCGCGGGGCACCGGGAGGCCAUUUUGCGCGUGCGCCGCUCGCCUCGCGCCGCCCGCAGCUCGGCGGACUCCGCUCCCGCCAAUUUUGAAAGCUAGAUUCUCAGGCCCUAGCAGGCUGGGGAGGAGGGGAAACGAAGUCCUUUCUCCAAGUCCGGACCCCGUGGCGAGCUGCGGCGACAGCCGGGUGGAAUGGACUCUAAUACCCUGGGAAGGAAACUUGACCAGGUGAUAGUGUCGAGGAAGUGAGUGGCCGCGCGACAGGAAUGUCAAGAUCUGGGUGAAGGACCACACUUCGGGACCCAAAGGCGACGCCUAGGUCUCCGGCCAGGGCAAAACUGGAAGGUCCGGCGGCCUGGAAACCCCGGCAGGGUAGAGGAUCGAGCGGUCGGAGGUUGGGACGUCGCCUCUGACAGCCACCAGGACGCAGAGGUUUCCUGCAGAGUCCGCGCCUGCCUAAUUCUCCGGGGGCAGAAACGCUUUUCUGGCCCAGGACUCCCACGUGCGCCCAAAAACCGGGAGAGAGAGGGACGGCUUGGUGAGAGGGGUACGGGUAACUGCAGAGAAGUGAAAGCGGCCUAAAAUGGGCGACACCCGGCGAGUCCUCUUUAUCGGCGCAGACUGCAGGGGCCGCCAUUUGGUGGCGGAUUUCGGUAUUUCUGUAGCACGUUGUUCUGAACUUCACAACUGGCUGGUCUACGUGGCACGGUGGUUUCGGAACCGCAGUUCUUAAAGAUGCAAA
ensembl:lncRNA